rnacentral:misc_RNA from 1 species
AAUUCUCAACCUUAUCAGUUUAUUUCUGAUAGUGGCUUGGAUGGUGGGGGUGCUGGCUCCUUUAUUGAGGUCAGCUCCCCUUAAAUGCAUUAGCUGGUGCCCUGUGUGGACUUGUCUAUUGGUGUGAUAAUUAUCUACGCUAUGGAUGUCUUACUUUAGCACUGCUUCUAACGGUCUGUUAAUUCGGACAAUACAUGACA